AAUCAGAGCGCGGCUGAGCGGCCCCGCAGCCAACCCCCGAGGAGCGGCCGGCUGGCGUCCGCCGCGCCCAGGAGUUGGGGAUGUCCUACAAACCCAUCGCCCCUGCUCCCAGCAGCACCCCUGGCUCCAGCACCCCUGGGCCGGGCACCCCGGUCCCUACAGGUGAGGAUCCAGCUCCACCCCUGCUCGCCUGCCGGGCGGUCGAGGUCUCGAAGAGAAGACGGCCUGAGUUCUGCAAUACUGGGCCUGCCGCCUACCCUCGCUGAGCCUCAGUUUGCUGGCCUGUGAAGUGGGCGUGGUCACGUAAGGGCUUGUAGGUGGAGCGCAGUGGGAGGGAUUUGUCCCUGAAGUUGAUCAGCAUGGAAUGAAGCAUCCUUUGGAGGGAAUCGGGCGAACCCGGUCCUGGGCUUGGAAAAGCUGGGAGGCGGCGUCCCUGCCCCGCGCUGACCUCUUACUCGCGCCUGUUGCUGCAGGAAGCGUCCCGUCGCCGUCGGGCUCAGUGCCAGGAGCCGGCGCUCCUUUCAGACCGCUGUUUAACGACUUUGGACCGCCUUCCAUGGGCUACGUGCAGGCGAUGAAGCCACCCGGCGCCCAGGGCUCCCAGAGCACCUACACGGACCUGCUGUCAGUCAUAGAGGAGAUGGGCAAAGAGAUCCGGCCUACCUAUGCUGGCAGCAAGAGCGCCAUGGAGCGCCUGAAGAGAGGUAUCAUCCAUGCCCGGGCCCUAGUCAGAGAGUGCCUGGCAGAGACAGAGCGGAACGCCCGCACGUAACAGGAAGCGCCUCGGCCUCAGCGUCUGGACCUAUCCGGCCACUGCAGAGCACCCGCUUCUCCCUGGCCUUCAUCCCGAGUUGCACUAACCAUCCUGGGCUUCCUGUCCUGUGUCCCUUGGUGGGUCCCCUCCAGGAACCAAGGAGUGGCCCUCCAGGUGGCAGCACUAAGGACACCCCCCCACAACAAGAGUUAGCAGCGAGGUCCCCAUGAGUCCCACCCAUGACCUGCCGACAGUGUUGCCCACCGGAACUUUUGUGGCCCCUACCGCUCAGCCCUUCCCAGCACUUCUCCCACUUUGUCCCGAGCCUCCUUCUCCCCCAGCAGGGGCACAGGCCUGGCACCUCCCUGCCUUGUGUCCUGAGCCAUAGUGACUCUUUUAUCUGUGUGUCUUUUGCUAAAUAUGCCCUUUUUAUAUUAAUAAAAGAUGAUUUGGAGUUGUGCUCUCA